UACGUAGGGUGCAAGCGUUAAUCGGAAUUACUGGGCGUAAAGCGUGCGCAGGCGGUGAGCUGUGUCCGAUGUGAAAGCCCACGGCUUAACCGUGGGUCUGCGGUGGAUACGGGCAGACUAGAGGCAGGUAGGGGAGAAUGGAAUUCCCGGUGUAGCGGUGAAAUGCGCAGAUAUCGGGAGGAACACCGGUGGCGAAGGCGGUUCUCUGGGCCUGUACUGACGCUGAGGAGCGAAAGCGUGGGGAGCGAACAGG
rnacentral:rRNA from 1 species